AUCCUUAUGCACGGGAAAUACGCAUAUCAGUGAGGAUUCGUCCGAGAUUGUGUUUUUGCUGGUUGAAAUUUAAUUAUAAACCAGACCGUCUCCUCAUGGUCAAUUCGGUGUUCGCUUUUGAAUACUUCAAGACUAUGUAGGGAAUUUUUGGAAUACCUUUUUUCAUUACCGAUAUUCAUUCUUUCAAAGGGACUGUUUAUUUUUCUUUGGAAGUAAUAUCAAAAAAUAGGU
rnacentral:snRNA from 17 species